CGAACGCCAUGAUUGCACAUACCAAGCAAUGUCUGAGAAAUAUGGUUUUCGUAGGAAAAGCACAAAAUGGAUCUUUGAGAACGCUUUAAAACUUUCAGGUGGACUUUGAAAAUGUCAAUGACAUCCCUUCUCUGCCACAUACAUAUACUAGGACUCCUAGCUGUCCUAGGAGAAGACAUAGACUUGAGGAACCUUUAGAACCAAAGAGUGCUUUAAAGAGGAUCGAUUUUGAUAAUCCAUCAAUAGUUUAGGAUGUGAUAGAGAUAUUUUGGGUUUCAUACAUGGCUAUUUGGUAUGUAUAUUUUGUAUAGAUUUUGAGAUGACUUUUUU